AUUGAACGCUGGCGGCAGGCCUAACACAUGCAAGUCGAGCGGAGCGGCGGACGGGUGAGUAAUGCCUAGGAAUCUGCCUGGUAGUGGGGGAUAACGUCCGGAAACGGGAGCUAAUACCGCAUCCUAUCAGAUGAGCCUAGGUCGGAUGCGCUAGUUGGUGGGGUAAAGGCCUACCAGGGCGACGAUCCGUAACUGGUCUGGGAGGAUGAUCAGUCACACUGGAAUUGAGACACGGUCCAGAUUCCUACGGGAGGCAGCAGUGGGGAAUAUUGGACAAUGGGCGAAAGCCUGAUCCAGCCAUGCCGCGUGUGUGAAGAAGGUCUUCGGAUUGUAAAGCACUUUAAGUUGGGAGGCGUUACCAGCAGAAGAAGCACCGGCUAACUUCGUGCCAGCCGCCGCGGUAAUUC
rnacentral:rRNA from 1 species